rnacentral:rRNA from 1 species
UACGAAGGGGGCUAGCGUUGUUCGGAAUCACUGGGCGUAAAGGGCUCGUAGGCGGCCAACUAAGUCAGACGUGAAAUCCCUAGGCUCAACCUAGGAACUGCGUCUGAUACUGGAUGGCUUGAAUCCGGGAGAGGGAUGCAGAAUUCCAGGUGUAGCGGUGAAAUGCGUAGAUAUCUGGAGGAAUACCGGUGGCGAAGGCGGCAUCCUGGACCGGCAUUGACGCUGAGGAGCGAAAGCCAGGGGAGCAAACGGG